rnacentral:rRNA from 1 species
UACGUAGGGGGCAAGCGUUGUCCGGAUUUAUUGGGCGUAAAGAGCGUGUAGGCGGUUCGGUAGGUCCGUUGUGAAAACUCGAGGCUCAACCUCGAGACGCCGAUGGAAACCCCCGAACUAGAGUCCGGAAGAGGAGAGUGGAAUUCCGAGUGUAGAGGUGAAAUUCGUAGAUAUUCGGAAGAACACCAGUGGCGAAGGCGACUACCUGGUCUGGCAUUGACGCUCAUGUGCGAAAGCGUGGGGAGCAAACAGG